rnacentral:rRNA from 1 species
UACGAAGGGUGCAAGCGUUAAUCGGAAUUACUGGGCGUAAAGGGUGCGUAGGCGGUUGCCUAAGUCCGUUGUGAAAGCCCUGGGCUCAACCUGGGAAUUGCAGUGGAUACUGGGCGACUGGAGUACGGUAGAGGAUGGCGGAAUUCCCGGUGUAGCAGUGAAAUGCGUAGAGAUCGGGAGGAACAUCAGUGGCGAAGGCGGCCAUCUGGACCAGUACUGACGCUGAGGCACGAAAGCGUGGGGAGCAAACAGG